UUGCAGUUCUUGCUGUGGGCGAGAUCAGCUAACUCAGAGCAUUUACAGCAUCAAAAACAUUCCUAGUUUUAACAGAGAAGAGAUUAUACCCCGUGGAAGCAGAGGUAAUUUGGCCAGGCUGUGGGUGCAAGUCUCUUGCCAUUCUAACUUUGGGACUUUAUUUAAAUGUGCUUAGCCUAACUUCGACGGUGAGCCCAGCCUCGAUAGCAUCAGGCAAGAAGCCAAGGGUUUGGUGAAUGCCUCAGGAGGAUGCAGCCAGGUACAGACCCCAGCAAUCAGACUUGUUUCAAUUUCAAGGAUUGCCUUCCACAGUUAUUCAUUCCACGUUGAGAGGUCAUUGAUAAGAACAAAUACCAACCCAACAUUAAGAUGAUCCACCAG